AUGGACGCAAGUCUGAUGGAGCAACGCCGCGUGAGUGAAGAAGGGUUUCGGCUCGUAAAGCUCUGUUGGUAGUGAAGAAAGAUAGAGGUAGUAACUGGCCUUUAUUUGACGGUAAUUACUUAGAAAGUCACGGCUAACUACGUGCCAGCAGCCGCGGUAAUACGUAGGUGGCAAGCGUUGUCCGGAUUUAUUGGGCGUAAAGCGAGUGCAGGCGGUUCAAUAAGUCUGAUGUGAAAGCCUUCGGCUCAACCGGAGAAUUGCAUCAGAAACUGUUGAACUUGAGUGCAGAAGAGGAGGGUGGAACUCCAUGUGUAGCGGUGGAAUGCGUAGAUAUAUGGAAGAACACCAGUGGCGAAGGCGGCUCUCUGGUCUGCAACUGACGCUGAGGCUCGAAAGCAUGGGUAGCGAACAGGAUUAGAUACCCUGGUAGUCCAUGUCGUAAACGAUGAGUGCUAAGUGUUGGGAGGUUUCCGCCUCUCAGUGCUGCAGCUAACGCAUUAAGCACUCCGCCUGGGGAGUACGACCGCAAGGUUGAAACUCAAAGGAAUUGACGGGGGCCCGCACAAGCGGUGGAGCAUGUGGUUUAAUUCGAAGCAACGCGAAGAACCUUACCA
rnacentral:rRNA from 1 species